UCCUCAUUUGAAAUAUAGCACUAAACUGGGCAUCCUGUUUAUUAUCUUCUGAUUCUGCUCUGGAUGGAUUUUAAAUAAACCCAUUCUAACGCGAUUUCCAAAAGGAUAGGUCCAUGUGGGGAUGAGGUCUGGAAAAGUUUGGAAGAGCUGCUGCAGGUGCUCUGAAAGAGCAACAGAAUGUUGCUGGGCAGUUGUGAAGGCCCACUUCCCUCCGGUGGCUGACUUUGUCCUGGAUAAACCAGAGGUAUCCCUGGACACCAGAACAGUGUGUCAGAUCCCCUGGAGCUGGAGAUCCAGAAGCUCAGUGUCAGCCUGGAAAAAGGAAAAAAAUGGCUGACAUGAUAAAGAAGUGGUUUUUAUAUUCCUGACCUCAUUUCUCUGUUCCCCAAGUCCUUCAAUGGCUGAGUUCUUUGGUCAAGAUACACGAACUCUCAUCUCCUUCCCUAGCACCAUGUCUGCCUACAUUCUGCCUUGCUUCCCACCAUGACAAUAAUGAGCUAAACCUCUGAACUGCUUGCUCCGUGUUCUGUUCAUGUGACUCUCACCCUGCUGUGGCCUGUACUCCAGUCCCUGACACAAGGCAAGUCUGGACUGAUGUAGAAAGUCCCUGCUCAACUAGCCAUGACUUUGGAGAAAGCCCCGACCUCUGAGCGGACAGAAGGCCUGGACAUCAGUGCGUGGGAGCCCUGGAGCCUGCAUUGCUGGGACAGCUCCAAAAGACUGUGAAGCACAGGCUUGUCAGACCUGGAGAAUAAAAGCAUGUCUGCCACACCGUGGCCCUCUCUGCGGGAAGGGAGAGGCUAGGAGGGAACCUGGUGGGUGGGGUUAUGGCUGGGACUCCUCUGGAACUUUCAGGGCAGGUGCCAGGCCCUGCUUACAGACUAUGAUAGGGCGGGGCCUCCAUGCCUUGGGUGAGCAGAUUCUCCCUUGCUUUCCCAGGAGGAAAUAAAGAACUAUCAGAAUUGUGAGUCUGUGCCCCUUGACAGAGCAGUUUCACCUCUAAGAAUUCCCUCUGCAGAGAAGUGUGCACAUCGUGCCAAAUGACGUCUGUUUAGACAAGGGAUGCAGCAAAGACUCGAGAUAGAAUGGCUCUGGGUUCAAAAUGCAUUGUGUAUCUGGACAAUGAACACUGUCUUUUCACAAAUAACAGGGGAGUGCCACAUGAACUGAAGUGGAAACAGCUCCAAAUGUAUUAAGUUAAAAAAAAAUAAAAGAGCAAAUCAUCGUGCAA